GAAGAAAGCAUAAUAUACAUUAAUAUAUCUAAAUAAAUUAAGGAUUCUACUAGUAUAUAGUGUUGAUACUAGUACAUGACAGACAAAAUGUUUUUUCCAAUUCACUUUUUAACAUACACAUCACCGUAACUCGUUCACAAUGAAAACGAUACUUUCUAACGUAUGGCAGGGGUUGGUUGACUGCGUGGAACGAACUUUACUUGGAACGGCUGAGGUGCUAUCGUAGUCCUACGGUUCCCUCCAGUGUAGGUAGAGCAUUCCCAUCGUGAUGAAUCUGCAAUCUUUUAUCUACUUUCCAUUCCGGGGUUUUCGUGGUGUGCCAUAAUAGUGCUUAUUUAACCACCCGGUGGCUGACAUCUUUUGACAUCCGGGGAGUGGUUUUAUUCAUAACAUUUUCUUAUAUAUAGUAUUAUCACGUCUUCUUUUUUAAGGGAUCCUAACAAGUUGAGGUCUCCUUUUGACAGGAUUUUCUUUUAUUCCUACGGCUUGGUUAAUUGAAUUUACGCUACUACAGAAGUUCAACCACCACUAACUACAAUCAUCCAAAGUAAUGAUGACUUAAUAGUCUCCAUGCCGGCUGAAAACAAGUCGUUACUAAUUUCAUGCCGGCUAAAAUAGAUCUCCAAGAAUUUGUUUCAAUUUCAAUUCUUCAAACGAAACAAUUAAAUGAAAUAUCGAUAUAUUUUAUUUAAAUAUUAUUUAAUGUACAAACCGUGAUAUAUUCCUUCAAAUAGCUCUCCUUAGCGACCCUCAACUAUGGCUUUCUCAAUUUAAAUGAAAUAACAUCAAUAAGGUCUCUGGCAUUAAUAAUGUUGAGAGCGCUGCGAUAUUCAUCCUUCAAGAUUUGGUAAAAUGCAGACAUUUCUUCAUGGUGCUGUUCUACUUUUUCUUUAGACUUAAUAGUCUCCAUACCUGCGGAAAACAAGUCGCUACGAAUUUUAUUUAAUUAUUGUAAUUCUUAGAACAUAACAUACUUAAAUGAUGUUAACUAUUUAGUAAAGUAUGUAAUGGUAUUUUAUUAAAAUAUUUUUGUACCAACCGUGAUCUCUUCCAUAAAAAAGCUCUCCCUCGGGACCCUCAACUUUAGCUUUCUCAAUUUAAAUCAAAUAAUAGCGAAAUGGUCUCUGGCAUUCUUGAUUUCCAGAGCACUGCGGUGUGCCUCUAUUAAUGUUUAAUAAAAAGCGAAUAUUUCUAAUCGGUUCUUAUCUACUUUUUCUUACAUCUGAGCUUAUCUCAGUAUGUUGGAUGUUACCCUACUACAGAAGCUUCACCAGGCCUCCGUUCUCUGGAAUAUAUUCCGUUUCUCGUAGUGUUUUUAUGCUGUUUUAUAUUUUUCCCAGUUCUUAAUAGUUCUGGUAUUUCUUGCUCGGUUAUAGAGUUCGCUGAGUCGCAUUCGCCUACCCACGCCGAAUGGCAUAAAGUAUUCUGGUCAUCUGCCUUUGCCAGUUAUUUUAGAAGGCCUCUUCUCUUCCAAACUUUAGCUUUCUUAAUUUAAAUGAAAUAAUAGUAAUAAAGUCUCUGCCAUUUUGGAUGUCAAGAGCGCUUCUGUGUUCAUUUAUUAAUGAUUGGUAAAAGGCGAACAUUUUCUUUCGUGGUUAGUUUGUUUUAUUUUUUCGUGGUUAUUUAUUUAUUUUUUUAUGGAAUAGGAGGACAAACAAGCGUACGGGUCAACUGGUGUUAAGUGAUCACCGCCGCCCACACUCUCCUGCAACACCAGAGGAAACACAAGAGCGUUGCCGGCCUAUAAGGAAGGUGUACGCGCUUUUCUUGAAGGUACCCAUGUCGUAUCGUCCCGGAAACACCGCACAAGGAAGCUCAUUCCACAGCUUCGUGGUACGAGGAAGUUUUUUGAUCUUAUGCUACUACAGAAGUUUCACCAAGCUCCCGUUCUCUGGAAUUUAUUGCGCUUCUCGUAGUGUUUUUGCGCUGUUUUAUAUUUGUCCCAGUCGUCAAUAGUUCUGGUAUGUUGUAUGAAGUAUUUCGGUCAUCUGAUAUUGCUAGUUAUUUAAGCUUGCAUUUGAAUGAUCUGCAACUGGAAGUUUGUUUGGAAAAGCUUGUCUGUGAACUAAGGCCUCGUCUAAACAUUUCCACGUUUUACUUUCUCUUGAUAAAUCAGUCCAAACCGGAUCAACAGCAUCAGGGUAUCGUAACAUAACUACAAUCAUCCAAAGUAAUGAUGACUUAAUAGUCUCCAUGCCGGCAUGAAAGUAGAUCUCCCAGUAUCUGUUUCAAUUUUAAUUCUUUAUACAAAACAUAAUGAAAUGAUAUGCACUAAAUAUCAUCAACUUUAAAGAAAAUAUAUAUUUAAUCAAAACAAAUCUUACAACAAUAUUUACAAUACUACGACUAAAUAUUAAAUUAUAUGAACCUAUUUCAUUAACAUAUUUUUGUACCAACGCUGAACUAGAAGUUUGUGUGGAGCAGCUUGCCUGUCGACAAAGGCCUCCUCUGAAGAUUUCCACGUUUUCCAUUCUCUUGCUAAUUCGGUCCGAACCGGAUCAGCUGCAUCAGGGUAUCGUAACAUAACUACAAUUAUUCAAAGUAAUGAAGGCUUAAUUGUCUCCAUGCCGGCUAAAAUAGAUCUCCAAGAAUUUGUUGCAAUUGUAUUUUUAUAUGUAUUUUUAUUUAAAUAUUAUUUAUUGUACAAACCGUGAUAUCUUCCUUCAAAUAGCUCUCCUUCGCGACCCUCAACUAUGGCUUUCUCAUUUUAAAUGAAAUAACAUCAAUAAGGUCUCUGGCAUUAAUAAUGUUGAGAGCGCUGCGAUAUUCAUCCUUCAAGAUUUGGUAAAAUGCAGACAUUUCUUCAUGGUGCUUGUCUACUUUCUCUUUCAUCUGACGUUUUCCCUGAGUGUUGGAUUUACGCUACUACAGAAAUUUUGCCAGGUUCCUGUUCUCCGGAAUCUAUCGGUUUCUCGUAGUGUUUUUGUGCUGUUUUAUUUUUUUCCCAGUUCUCAAUAGUUCUGGUAUUUAUUGCUCGGUUAUAGAGUUCGUUGAGUCGCAUUCGCCUCCCCACGCCGAAUUGCAUAAAGUAUUCUGGUCAUCUGCCUUUGCCAGUUAUUUUAGCUUGCAUUUGAAUGAUCGGCAACUACAAGUUUGUGUGGAACAGCCUGUCUGUUGGAAAAGGCCUCCUCUACAGAUUUCCACGUUUUCCUGUCUCUUGAUUAAUGGGUCCACACCGGAUCAGCAGCAUCAGGGUAUCUUAACAUAACUACUAUCAUCCAGAGUAAUGAAGCCUUAAUGGUCUCCAUUCCAGCAGAAAAUAGGUCUCUAAGAAUUUGUUUCAAUUAUUGCAAUUCUUAGCCCGAACCACAAUUAAAUGAAAUAAACAAUAUAUUAUACAGUAUAUGAAUGUAUUUUAUUAAAAUAUUUUUGUACCAACCGUGAUCUCUUACAAACUUUAGCUUUCUUAGUUUAAAUGAAACAAUAGUUAUAAAGUCUCUGCCAUUGUUGAUGUCAAGCGCGCUUCUGUGUUCAUUUAUUAAUGAUUGGUAUAAGGCGAACAUUAUCUAUCGUUGCUUUUUUUUUCUUAAAUCUGAGCAUAUCAGUUUGUUAAUGUUACGCUACUACAGAAGUUUCACCAGGCCCCCGUUCUCUGGAAUUUAUUCCGCUUCUCGUAGUGUUUUCGUGCUGUUAUAUAUUUGUCCCAGUCAUCAAUAGUUCUGCUAUGGUGUAUGAAGUAUUUCGGUCAUCUGAUUUAGCUUGUUAUUUAAGCUUGCAUUUGAAUGAUCUGCAACUGGAAGUUUCUUUGGAACAGCUUGUGUGUGGACUAAGGUCUCCUCUAAACAUUUCCACGUUUUACUUUCUCUUGCUAAAUCAGUCCAAACCGGAUCAACAGCAUCAGGGUAUCGUAACAUAACUACAAUCAUCCAGAGUAAGGACGACUUAGUAGUCUCCAUGCCGGCUGAAAGUAGAUCUCCUAGUAUCUGUUUCAAUUUUAAUUCUUGAAACAAAACAUAAUUAAAUGAAAUGCACUAAAUAUUAAAUUAUAUAAAACUAUUUCAUUAAAAUAUUUUUGUACCAACGUUGGACUAGAAGUUUGUGUGGAGCAGCUUGUCUGUCGACAAAGGCCUCCUCUGAAGAUUUCCACGUUUGCCAUUCUCUUGCUAAUUCGGUCCGAACUGAAAUAGCUGCAUCAAGGUAUCGUAACAUAACUACAAUUAUUCAAAGCAAUGAAGGCUUAAUUGUCUCCAUGCCCGCUAAAAUAGAUCUCCAAGAAUUUGUUUCAAUUGUAAUUCUAAAAACAAAACAAUUAAAUGAAAUGUAAUUCAUUUUAAAUAAUAUGAAUGUAUUUUAUUUAAAUAUUAUUUAUUGUAGAAACCGUGAUAUCUUCCUUCAAAUAGCUCUCCUUCGCGACCCUCAAUUAUGGCUUUCUCAAUUUAAAUGAAAUAACAUCAAUAAGGUCUCUGGCAUUAAUAAUGUUGAGAGCGCUGCGAUAUUCAUCCUUCAAGAUUUGGUAAAAUGCAGACAUAUCUCCAUGGUGCCUGUCUACUUUCUCUUGCAUCUGACUUUUUCCCUGAGUGUUGGGUUUACGCUACUACAGAAGUUUCGCCAGAUUCCUGUUAUCCGGAAUCUAUGGGGUUCUAGUAGUGUUUUUGUACUUUUUUAUAUUUUCCCAGUCUUCAAUAGUGCUGGCAGUUUUUAAUCGGUUAUUGAGUUCGCUGAGUCACAUUUGCCUUUCCAGGCUGAAAGGCAUAAAGUAUUCCAGUCGUCUACUUUUGCCAACUAUUAUUUUAGGUUUCAUUUGAAUUACUUUCCUUAAGACUUAAUAGUCUCCAUUCAGGCGCAUAGUAAGGCGUUACGUAUUUGAUUUAAUUUUUGUAAUUCUUAGAACAUAACAAAAUUCAAUGAAAUUUACUAUAUAGUAAAGUAUAUGAAUGUAUUUUAUUGAAAUAUUUUUGUACCAACCAUGAUCCCUUCCUUCAAAUAGCUCUCUCUUGGGACCCUCGGGAUUUUUAGCUUUCUCAAUUUAAAUGAAAUAGUAGCUCUACCAUAGUCUCUGGCAUUGUUGAUUUCGACAGGUCUGCGAUGUUCAUCCAUUAAUAUCUGCUAACUAAAUGCAAACUUUUCUUCACGGUGCUUGUCUACUUUCUCUUGCAUCUGACUUUUUCUCUAAGUGUUGGGUUAACGCAACUACAGAAGCUUCGCCAGGUUCCUGUUCUCCGGAAUCCAUCGGUUUCUAGUAGUGUUUUUGUGCUUUUUUAUAUUUUUCCUAGUUUUUGAUCGGUUAUAGAGUUCCCUGAGUCACAUUUGCCAUUCCAGGCUAAAAGGCAUAAAGUAUUCCGGUCGUCUACUUUUGCCAAGUUUUAUUUUAGCUUUCAUUUGAAUGACUUUUUCUAAAGACUUAAUAGUCUCCAUUCCUGCCGAGAAUAAGUCAUUAAGAAUUUGUUUCAAUUAUUGUAAUUCUUAAAACAAAACAUAAUUUAAUUUAAUUUACUAUAUAUAAAAGUAUAUGAAUGUAUUUUGCUCUCCCUCGGGAUGCUCAACUUUAGCUUUCUCAAUUUAAAUGAAAUAAUAGCAAAAAGGUCUCUGAUAUUCUUGAUCUUGAGAGCGCUGCGAUGUUCCUUUAUUAAUGUUUGAUAAAAGGCGUACAUUUCUUACAGGUGCUAAUCUGCUUUUUCUUACAUCUGAGCUUUUCCCAGUUUAUUGAGGUUACGCUACUACAGAAGUUUCACUAGGCCUCCGUUCCCCAGAAUCUAUUCUGCUUGUCGUAGUAUUUUUGUUUUGUUUUUAUUUAAAUCUAUGUACAACGUUUUUUUCGGAAAUCUUCAUGCCAUUGUCCUUAGUAUCUAUUAUUCAAAAGUAUUUUUUGUUUCUAGAAUAAUACAAUGGAGCUCGAUUUUCUGUUCACUAUAAGUUCACAAAGUAAAAAAUUUAUUUUUUUACAGAAAAUGUUAUCGAAGCAAGUAACUAAAGUAAGGGAGAUUGUAAUGGGUUUGAAAAAAGCAUAAUAUACAUUAAAAUAUCCAAAUAAAUGAAGGAUUCUCCUAGUAUAUAGGGUUGAUACUAGUACAUGACAGACAAACAUGUUGUUUCCAAUUCACUUUUUAACAUAAACAUCAUCAUAACUCGUUCACAAUGAAAACGAUACUUUCUAACGUAUGGCAGGGUCUGGUCGACUUCGUGGAACGAACUUUACUUGGAAUGGCUGAGGUGCUAUCGUAGUCCUACGGUUCCCUCCAGUGAUGGUAGAGCAUCCCCAUCGUGAUGACUCUGCAAUCUUUUAUCUACUUUCCAUUCCUGGGUUUUAUUGGUGUGCUAUAAUAGUGCUUAUUUAACCACCCGGAGUCUGACGUCUUUUGACAUCCGGGGAAUGGUUUUUUUCAUAACAUUUUGCUGGUUUCUUAGGCUGUACUUAUAUUAUAAUUGCAGUAUUCUUUUUUAAGGGAUCCCAAAAAGUUGAGGUCUCCUUUUGACAGGAUUUUCUUUUAUUCUUACGGCUUGGUUAGUUGAAUUUACGCUACUACAGAAGUUCAACCGCAACUAACUACAAUCAUCUAAAGUAAUGACGACUUAAUAGUCUCCAUGCCGGCUGAAAAUAGAUCUCCCAGUAUCUGUUUCAAUUUUAAUUCUUUAUACAAAACAUAAUUUAAUGAAAUGCACUAAAUAUUAAAUUAUAUGAACCUAUUUCAUUAAGAUAUUUUUGUACCAACGCUGAACUAGAAGUUUGUGUGGAGCAGCUUGUCUGUCGACAAAGGCCUCCUCUGAAGAUUUCCACGUUUUCCAUUCUCUUGCUAAUUCGGUCCGAACCGGAUCAGCUGCAUCAGGGUAUCGUAACAUAACUACAAUUAUUCAAAGUAAUGAAGGCUUAAUUGUCUCCAUGCCGGCUAAAAUAGAUCUCCAAUAAUUUGUUGCAAUUGUAAUUUUAAAAACAAAACAAUUAAAUGAAAUGUACUAAAUUUUAAAUAAUAUGAAUGUAUUUUAUUUAAAUAUUAUUUAUUGUACAAACCGUGAUAUCUUCCUUCAAAUAGCUCUCCUUCGCGACCCUCAACUAUGGCUUUCUCAAUUUAAAUGAAAUAACAUCAAUAAGGUCUCUGGCAUUAAUAAUGUUGAGAGCGCUGCGAUAUUCAUCCUUCAAGAUUUGGUAAAAUGCAAACAUUUCUUCACGGUGCUUGUCUACUUUCUUUUGCAUCUGACUUUUUCCCUGAGUGUUGGGUUAACGCUACUACAGAAGUUUCGCCAGGUUCCUGUUAUCCGGAAUCUAUCGGUUUCUCGUAGUGUUUUAUGUGCUGUUUUAUUUUGUUCUCAGUCCUCAAUAGUUCUGGUAUUUAUUGCUCGGUUAUAGAGUUCGUUGAGUCGCAUUCGCCUCCCCACGCCGAAUGGCAUAAAGUUUUCUGGUCAUCUGCCUUUGCCAGUUAUUUUAGCUUGCAUUUGAAUGAUUGGCAACUACAAGUUUGUGUGGAACAGCUUGUCUGUUGGAAAAGGCCUCCUCUACAGAUUUCCACGUUUUCCUGUCUCUUGAUUAAUGGGUCCACACCGGAUCAGCAGCAUCAGGGUAUCUUAACAUAACUACUAUCAUCCAGAGUAAUGAAGACUUAAUACCGUAAUAAGAAUCUUUGUACCGGACAAUUACUGUUCGAGGCGCAAGCAUAGAUUGUUCUCAAGUAUGACAUAUCGUACUGUGGCUCGCACCAACUCACCUAUACCGAGGUCUCUCUCUGCUCUCAACGCUCUUCUCGAAGCCAACCAUGCUUGUGAUUUAUUUGCGGAUGGAUGGCAGACGAUUUUAACAGAGUGCUUGCGUUUUUGUGAGAGGAAUGGAUGAACGGUAUUUGGAUGUUAAUUAAUUGUUAGUUAUUUACAGUAAACUUUGUAUUUAUUAACUAUUAUUUGUGUAAUAUGUCUAGUUUGUAAUUAAUUCUUACUUUAAUAUUGUAAUUGGCUUACGCCGUUUUAUUAAAGUAUAAAUAAAUAAAUAAAUUAAUGGUCUCCAUUCCAGCAGAAAAUAGGUCUCUAAGAAUUUGUUACAAUUAUUGCAAUUCUUAGCCCGAAACACAAUUAAAUGAAAUAAACAAUAUACUAUAUAGUAUGUGAAUGUAUUUUAUUAAAAUAUUUUUGUACCAACCGUGAUGUCUUACAAACUUUAGCUUUCUUAGUUUAAAUGAAAUAAUAGUAAUAAAGUCUCUGCCAUUGUUGAUGUCAAGAGCGCUUCUGUGUUCAUUUAUUAAUGAUUAGUAUAAGGCGAACAUUAUCUAUCGUUGCUUUUUUUUUCUUAAAUCUGAGCAUUUAUCAGUUUGUUAAUGUUACGCUACUACAGAAGUUUCACCAGGCCCCCGUUCUCUGGAAUUUAUUCCGCUUCUCGUAGUGUUUUCGUGCUGUUAUAUAUUUGUCCCAGUCAUCAAUAGUUCUGCUAUGGUGUAUGAAGUAUUUCGGUCAUCUGAUUUAGCUUGUUAUUUAAGCUUGCAUUUGAAUGAUCUGCAACUGGAAGUUUCUUUGGAACAGCUUGUGUGUGGACUAAGGUCUCCUCUAAACAUUUCCACGUUUUACUUUCUCUUGCUAAAUCAGUCCAAACCGGAUCAACAGCAUCAGGGUAUCGUAACAUAACUACAAUCAUCCAGAGUAAGGACGACUUAGUAGUCUCCAUGCCGGCUGAAAGUAGAUCUCCUAGUAUCUGUUUCAAUUUUAAUUCUUGAAACAAAACAUAAUUAAAUGAAAUGCACUAAAUAUUAAAUUAUAUAAAACUAUUUCAUUAAAAUAUUUUUGUACCAACGUUGGACUAGAAGUUUGUGUGGAGCAGCUUGUCUGUCGACAAAGGCCUCCUCUGAAGAUUUCCACGUUUGCCAUUCUCUUGCUAAUUCGGUCCGAACUGAAAUAGCUGCAUCAAGGUAUCGUAACAUAACUACAAUUAUUCAAAGCAAUGAAGGCUUAAUUGUCUCCAUGCCCGCUAAAAUAGAUCUCCAAGAAUUUGUUUCAAUUGUAAUUCUAAAAACAAAACAAUUAAAUGAAAUGUAAUUCAUUUUAAAUAAUAUGAAUGUAUUUUAUUUAAAUAUUAUUUAUUGUAGAAACCGUGAUAUCUUCCUUCAAAUAGCUCUCCUUCGCGACCCUCAAUUAUGGCUUUCUCAAUUUAAAUGAAAUAACAUCAAUAAGGUCUCUGGCAUUAAUAAUGUUGAGAGCGCUGCGAUAUUCAUCCUUCAAGAUUUGGUAAAAUGCAAACAUUUCUUCACGGUGCUUGUCUACUUUCUCUUGCAUCUGACUUUUUCCCUGAGUGUUGGGUUAACGCUACUACAGAAGUUUCGCCAGGUUCUUGUUCUCCGGAAUCUAUCGGUUUCUAGUAGUGGUUUUGUGCUUUUUUAUAUUUUUUCCAGUCUUCAAUAGUGCUGGCUGUUUUUAAUAGGUUAUUGAUUUCGUUGAGUCACAUUUGCCUUUCCAGGCUGAAAGGCAUAAAGUAUUCCAGUCGUCUACUUUUGCCAACUAUUAUUUUAGGUUUCAUUUGAAUUACUUUUCUUAAGACUUAAUAGUCUCCAUUACGGCGGAUAGUAAGAAGUUACGUAUUUGAUUUAAUUUUUGUAAUUCUUAGAACAUAACCAAAUUCAAUGAAAUUUACUAUAUCGUAUAUGAAUGUCUUUUAUUAAAAUAUUUUUGUACCAUCUCCUCCAUAAAAAAGCUCUCCCUCGGGACCCUCAACUUUAGCUGUCUCAAUUUAAAUCAAAUAAUAGCAGAACGGUCUCUGGCAUUCUUGAUCUCCAGAUGUUCCUCUAUUAAUGUUUAAUAAAAGCGAACAUUUCUAAUCGGUUUUUUCUACUUUUUCUUACAUCUGAGCUUAUCUCAGUUUUCUCUUGCUCUCCAACAUGGACGGCACCAUAGAGCUCCAUUCUUCUUGAGAUUUGUUCAUUAAAAAUAGCAAAGUUUGAAUUGCCUUUUUCGAUACAAGCUCAACAGUAGCUGGCCGAUAACAUUAUGACCUAUCUUCCUGACUACCAUUAGGCGGAUACAUUAUAUUUAAACCCAAUGGAUAUUAGCAAGUGUAGCACCGUUAUGCUAGUGUGUGUGCGGUUACGGAGGGUACCAGUUACACAAUUUUUUCUCCCUUAAGUAAUCAUAUAUGGCCAUAAAUAUUUAUAUCGUAUCGUUUUUACACUUUUUCACAACGCACGACGGCAUUUUUAAAAUAUUUUAUUGAGACGCAAAGUGAUCUGUCACAGACGAUGUCAAUUCUCAUAAUGGCCCCUUAUCGGCCUGUAGUGGUGUGUGUGCUUAGGGCUAUGUAUUUACAUGUUAAUCGGCUUGUUUUGGUGCUACACUGUCAUGUAAGAUGACACGGAGUCCUUAUUUUUUUCCCAGUCCUCAAUAGUUCUGGUAUUUUUUGCUCGGUUAUAGAGUUCGCUGAGUCGUAUUCGCCUACCCACGCCGAAUGGCAUAAAGUAUUCUGGUCAUCUGCCUUUGCCAGUUAUUUUAGCUUGCAUUUGAAUGAUCGGCAACUAGAAGUUUGUGUGGAACAGCUUGUCUGUUGGAAAAGGCGUCCUCUACAGAUUUCCACGUUUUUCUGUCUCAUGCUAAAUGGGUCCACACCGGAUCAGCAGCAUCAGGGUAUCUUAACAUAACUAUGAUCUCCAUUCCAACAGAAAAUUGAUCUCUCAUUCUUAUAAUAUAAAUAGAUCUCAGAAUUUGUUUCAAUUGAAUUUCUUAGAACAAAACAUAAUUAAAUGAAAUGUACUAUAUAUUAAAGUAUAUGAAUGUAUUUUAUUAAAUUAUUUUUGUACCAACCGUGAUCUCUUCCUUCAAAUAGCUCUCUCUCGGGACCCUCGAGAUUUUUAGCUGUCUCAAUUUAAAUGAUAUAGUAGCUCUAGCAUAGUCUCUGGCAUUGUUGAUUCCGACAGGUCUGCGAUGUUCAUCCAUUAAGAUCUGCUAACUAGAUGCAAACAUUUUUUCACUGUGCUUGUCUACUUUCUGUUGUAUCUAGAUACUUCCGCGUUUUUCUUUCACGUGAACCUUUCCCAGAUUUACUGUGUUUACGAAGUUUCGCCAGGUGCCCGUUCUCCGCAAUCUCAUCCGAUUCUCGUAUUGUUUUUGUGCUGUUAUAUAUUUUUCUCAUUCCUUAAAAAUUCUGGUAUUUUUGCUCAGAUUCUGAUUUUAUAGAGUUCCUAAAGUCACAUUCGCCUUCCCACGCCGAAAGCCUUGAAGUAUUCCGGUCGAAUGCUUUUACUGGCAGCUGAAUGUUUGCGUGGAACAGCUUGUCUGUCAACCAAGGCCUUUUUAUGAUGAGCACAUCAUAUCUUUUGCUAGUUGGGAUUCUUGUGUCAGCAGCUGGGGACAUAGAAGUUCCUCAGGAUUUGACAUGUUGCAUAUUCAUAUACUUUGGUUGUAGCAGUGAGGUUACCAUAAUAUGAUGAUCUGCGUGGCAUGUUCUAGUAUCCAGACUGUAUACAAGUGGGUUCAUCGAUUUAGUUAAUCUCUAUAAUGCUGCAGCCCUACUUCGGCUACUUGCUGGGAUAUAUUUUCUGUAAUUGCAAUUUGCUCAACAAAUCAAUUUUUAAUAACUGAUAAAGGACCUCCGCAUGGGUGGAAACUAGUUGAUACCAACACCAAUGAAUUCACCGGCGGUUCGGCAUCAAGACUAUUCUUUCUAUCUGGGAUCUAGCCGGAAAAGCUCAGAUGCAAGAAAAUGUUGAUAAUAAUCGUGAUGAAAUGUUGGCAUUUUACAAGACCUUGAUAAAUCAACACCGCUUCACUCUCGAAGGCGAGAAUGCCAAUGGCCUUAUUGAGAAAGCUAAAGUUGACACGUCACGUCACGAGGAAGAGCUAUUUGAAGGAAGAAAUCACGAAAUACAACUGUUGGAGAUGUAUUUUCUGUUGGUAUGGAAACCAUUAAGUCUAUAAAGAUGAUGCUGCAGCCGACAGGGGGGGGGGGGUGUUAUUUUAUAACACUAAUGUUAAGAGACGUGUUCAGGAAGAGAUUGAUUUUGAUGUGGGCCGAGAGCGUCUCCCGGCUAUAGAAGAUAUGCCGGGCCUGCCCUACUGAACCAUCUAUCUUGGAAACACGUCGUAUGUCAGGAAUUAUUCCACUGGCUACAGGAUAUUCUCCAAACUGACAGGUGCAAGAGCUCUUCAAGAAGAUAGAUGAAUGCAAAGACAGAUGGAAAGUUGUUUGCACCGGAUUACUUCAUGCCGUUCACAGCGGGUCGCCAUGUUUGUUUAGCAGAGCAACUGGCACCAAUUCGUGAGGGAACAAAAAACGUUUUUUGAACUUGAUGAGCCAUUGAGCAUUUGAACCGCCGGAAGGUGAAAGUAUGCCGAACCUCAAAAAGGAUCUUUCGGCAUGAAGUACGCGCCUUAUGUAAUUUCGCAACUUAAUGCACAUUUUUUGACAAUUUCACUGUAAUUUUUUUGUCUUUUACAAAAAAAAAAUUUUUGGUUCAAAUGGUUUUUCAUUUAGUAUAUUUGAUUGGAUUUGUAAUUUGACAUUUACGUAUUUAGUGUGAUGUAUUAUUAAUUCUAAAAUAAAUUUUGUCAACCCGCAUACUAAAGGGUACAAUAUGUAUGAAUGAUGACUUAGGCUGGGUUGCAUCAUAUCAGCUUGUGUUAAGGUUUAAGUCAAAUUUAACCUUAGCAGUAACGCUGAUUUUAACAUAGACUGCGGAAUGUGUUGCGCCAUUGUAUACCUUGGUUACCAACCAAGGUUACCAAGUUAAUGCUAAAUAGUGACAUAUCAAGUCAAUAUCGAAUAUUUAUUUAAACCUUUUGAUAGGUCGCUAUUUAGCUAGUUAACAUUAAAAAUACCUUUAACUGACGUGGAUUGGACGGUUAUGGAUAUCAGUUAAAGUUAUGACGUCAUCUAAAAAUUGUCAAAUGUGCAACUCAUUUUAUGCUUAACCGGUAAUUUACCGUGUUUAUUAUAGCUAAAGUUACUUGGUGCAAUCCAGUAUUAGUAAAUUCCAAAUUAGUAUGUAUUAUUAUAUUCAGUAUUAUAGAAUUAAAAGAUUCAUGUAACACCAGUCACUGUUGAAGAACAAAUAUACUUUGUUUUUAUGUGUGUAAUUCUUAAUUUCAUGUACAAACGUAGAAGCUGCUAUAUUAUUUAAUCAGUAAAAUUUUUUGUAUGGAAUGUUAUUACUAAGUCAAGUUUAUUUUUAGCUCACAGUUUGCUGUUAGUAUAUAUUAUAAUAAUUAUUAAAUUUUAUUGUCCUUCUAUAAAACAUCUAUAUGUCUGUGCGGAUUUUAUAUUAUUGUAUUUGAGAAUUUCUUGACAUGUAUUUUUUGCGUUGUUCUUAGUUUGUCGUUACUUUUUAAUUCUUAUGUUUUUGGGUACAAUAAUCAUUUUUAAUUUUAAGUUACAUUCAAAGCUACUUUUGCACUGGUGUUUCUUAGUAUUAUGAUUAUUAUGCUCAGAAUUGAUAAUGAUUGGAAUUACUUAACUUAUAUUGCCUUAAGUUCGUCUUUGGACUACUAACAUAUGAGAAUGAAUGAAUAAUAUUAUGUUUAAAACUCAAAUAGUACAAGCAUUAAAAUCGUAUCAAAUACUGUUUAUAUUGUUUUAAAUUUAUAGUUUGUUGCACCUUUUUCAUUCUCUUUUUGUAUCUAUUAAAUUUUAACCUUGUAAUGUUUACCUUUCUCGAUUUUUGUAAUUAAUCUGUACUUAACGGUGCUGGUGGCACAUUUAGUAUUAUUACCUUAUAAUAUAUUUUAGUUAGUAAGAUCCAAUGUUUCACUGUUUGUUGAUUCCUAUAAAUAAGAUAAAAAUAAAUUGUAUUUUAGAUAAUAAAUUUUUUACUCUCCCAUAUAAA